rnacentral:rRNA from 1 species
UGGGGAAUAUUGGACAAUGGGGGCAACCCUGAUCCAGCAAUGCCGCGUGAGUGAUGAAGGCCUUAGGGUUGUAAAGCUCUUUCGGCGGGGACGAUGAUGACGGUACCCGCAGAAGAAGCCCCGGCUAACUUCGUGCCAGCAGCCGCGGUAAUACGAAGGGGGCGAGCGUUGUUCGGAAUUACUGGGCGUAAAGGGCGCGCAGGCGGCUCUGAAAGUCAGAUGUGAAAGCCCCGGGCUUAACCUGGGAAUUGCAUUUGAUACUCUAGAGCUUGAGUACGGGAGAGGAGAGUGGAAUUCCCAGUGUAGAGGUGAAAUUCGUAGAUAUUGGGAAGAACACCGGUGGCGAAGGCGGCUCUCUGGACCGUAACUGACGCUGAGGCGCGAAAGCGUGGGGAGCAAACAGGAUUAGAUACCCCCGUAGUCC